UCUGUUUUAGAUGCCCCUCUUCUGUCUUUAUUCAACUACCCUACAAUAUACCAGUCAGUGAUAUACUGUUAUGCACCAUGACACACACACACACACACACACACACACACACACACACACACACACACACACACACACACACAGUCUUGUACGGCUACUUUUGUGGGGACACACUAUUCAUUCAGUCCCAUCCAAAAUCCUUUUUUCCAUAGCCCCUAACCCUAACCCGUACACUUACCCGAACCUUAACCCUAAACCUAACCAUAGCUCCUAACAUGAAUUCUAACCCUAACACGAAUUCUAACUUUACCUCUAAACCCACUGAGAAAUAGCAUUUGACCUCAUGGGGACCAACAAAAUGUACCCCAGUUAGUCAAAUGUUUGUUUGUUUACUAUUCUUGUGGGAACUCUCUCUCUCUCUCUUCUCUUCUGUCUCCCUUCAACCACCCUGCAUGGUGUACUAUAUGAGACGGACUGGUCACACAAAAUUCCCAGGUGGCAAAGUUCCGGAUGGAUUAUUGGCAUUUAUCAGUGAAGUAACAAACCUCCACCUAGCAAUCCAUUGCAACCCCAAACUGUUCACACCCCGCUUGUUGGCGGAGAGAACAUUUAGCCAUUUCAAAGCUAAUUUCCUGCAUUUCUACACAUCUUAUGUACGUUUUAUAUGAUACCAGGGGUCGAAGCACGAUCGAGCCAUACAAGUUUGAUAGCACUCCGAGAUGCUGAGGUCUUCAUCAGGUAUCCAUAUCCCAGGUGCGGGUGGAAGGUGCGAUAUAUAUAUUUUUAGGGGCAGUAUUCAGUGACAUCACUUCCUAAAACAGGAGGUAAAAUAUGUGUAACAUAAUUUCACAAUAUUAACAUUCAAUGUAUCAAAAUAUAUGAUCAUUCACAGAGAAUGUGAUCAAUAUUUAUAGUAAUAUUGUCACGCUCUGACCAUAGUUCUUUUGUGUUUUCCUUGUUUUAGUAUUGGUCAGGAUGUGAGCUGGGUGGGCAUUCUAUGUUGUGUGUCUAGUUUGUCUAUUUCUAUGUUUGGCCUGAUAUGGUUCUCAAUCAGAGGCAUGUGUUAGUCAUUGUCUCUGAUUGGGAACCAUAUUUAGGUAGCCUGUUUUGUGUUGGGAUUUGUGGGUGGUAGUUUCCUGUCUUUGUGUUUUCUGCACCAGAUAGGGCUGUUUCGGUUUUGCCACGUUUAUUGUUUUGUAGUUUGUUCAUGUUAAGUGUCUCUUAUUAAAGAACCAUGAACUUCAACCACGCUGCGUUUUGGUCCGCCUCUCCUUCCCAGGAAGAAAGUCGUUACAAAUAUACACACAUACAAUAUUCAAUUAGGAGGGUUUUUUU